rnacentral:rRNA from 1 species
CCCUUAGAUGUUCUGGGCUGCACGCGUGCUACAAUGGCGUUUCCAGCAAGUCUGCGAACCCGAGAGGGCCAGCGGAUCUUCGAAUUGGCGUCGUGAUCGGGACAGUCGAUUGCAAUUAUUUGACUCAAACGAGGAAUUCCUUGUAAUCGCGAUUCAUCAUAUCGCGCUGAAUACAUCCCUGCCCUUUGUACACACCGCCCGUCGCUCCUACCGAUUGAGCGAUCCGGUAAAUGUUUUGGAUUGGUGCCGGGGCGGCUAGCUGCCGGUCGCUACGAAAUUUUGUGAACCUUAUCGCUUAGAGGAAGGAAAAGUCGUAACA